GGGCCCGUGGCCAAGCCAGGACAAGGCACCGAGCCGACGAGCCGGAGAUCGAGGGUUCAAAUCCCCCCGGGCCCGCCA
rnacentral:tRNA from 1 species